CGCCAGACUCCUACGGGAGGCAGCAGUGGGGGAUAUUGCACAAUGGGGGAAACCCUGAUGCAGCGACGCCGCGUGAGCGAUGAAGUAUUUCGGUAUGUAAAGCUCUAUCAGCAGGGAAGAAAAUGACGGUACCUGACUAAGAAGCCCCGGCUAACUACGUGCCAGCAGCCGCGGUAAUACGUAGGGGGCAAGCGUUAUCCGGAUUUACUGGGUGUAAAGGGAGCGUAGACGGCAGUGCAAGUCUGAAGUGAAAGGCAAGGGCUCAACCCUUGGACUGCUUUGGAAACUGUGCUGCUCGAGUGUCGGAGAGGCAAGUGGAAUUCCUAGUGUAGCGGUGAAAUGCGUAGAUAUUAGGAGGAACACCAGUGGCGAAGGCGGCUUACUGGACUGUAACUGACGUUGAGGCUCGAAAGCGUGGGGAGCAAACAGGAUUAGAUACCCUUGUAAAU
rnacentral:rRNA from 1 species